rnacentral:lncRNA from 1 species
GCCUCCUCGACUCCUGCACCCCAGGAACACCCAGCUACCUGUCGCUGAGCCCACAGAGAAGUUCCCGGUUGCCACAGCUCUCGGCGAUAAGCACAAGGUACCGAGGGGUGAUGUAGGCCUCGUGCAGGGACAUGAGCCUCUCGUGGUGCAGUGUCCGAAGCACCUCAUAUUCCUGCAGCACUCGUCGCUUGCCCUCGGCAGCAUACGGCACGAUCUUAGCAACGAACGUUCGGCCUGUAGCAUUCUCCCGGCAUGACCGCACAACGCCAAAGCGGCCCCUGUGUGAGAAAGAGGGACAGUACAGACUCAGGGUAGACACUAUCAGUGUGAGAGCUAAACUGGGAAGCAGGGACCAUGAGAACAAGAACACAGUGGGCUUGUGCAUGGGCUUCAGAGUUCAGUGAUAUGAACAAAGAUUGGAGCUCUCCUGGCUCUCUACCUUGGGGAGAGC